rnacentral:lncRNA from 1 species
AAGAAAACAAGAUAGAAAAUUUUUUCUUUUUUUUGUUUGAACCAAAUCAAUCAUUGUUGAGUAUGGGCUCUUCCGAACCUGCUCAAAUUCUCCAUAUGUUUUUCUCUUUCUUUACUUGAACUAGAUUGAUUUUUUUUUUUUUUUUUACUUGAACCAAACCGAGUCACACCUCUGUAUUGAAAAAACUGUUUCUCUUCAAUUUCCUUCGACUCUUAUCUUAUCGUCGUUUCUUCUAUCACCGAUUUCUCUUUUUUUUGUCGUUGUUUUUCUAUUUUUUUUUCUAAUUAUCUAUCUGUCGUAUCGCACAGAUUACUAUACUAGUAUAACAUGAUACUUAACUAAUAUGAUCCAAAUUUAACUCAUCAAUUACAAUUUAAAAUCUUCUAAAAUAUUCUAAAAUACUAUAGCAUUACUAUUGGAAGUACAUCCCCUCUCUCUC